rnacentral:misc_RNA from 1 species
GCAACACAUGUAUCUGCAACCACACUAACAGACACAAACAAACAAACAAAUGCAUUUAGGAAUAAUAUAUUUGGCGAAGCAGUAUAGCUACAGUACAAGUAUUAUUCAUACUACCACAUUCUUCUGCACUUCAUAAAAUUUUCAAGUCCGACUCUGUGACAUGCCAUAUGAUGCCAAUGUGGAUGUGUUGAUAUAUAUAUAUAUAUAUAGAG